UGAUUCAAGAAUAAUAUCCCAAAUGCUAGCUAAAAUAUAAAUUUUGAAUAUUAGUUAAUAAAGAGAAGAAAUUGGGAUAAUCUCACAGUGUUAUAGAAUCACACAAAGAGCGUUGUCCUUAGAGGUUGAUUCGUGUCAUCUAGAGUAAAACUUUGUGUGACUAGUUUUCUUGGUCAAACAAUCCUUUAAGAUUAAACUAUAACAUCUACCUUUGUGAUAGACGCACUUCCACUCACAAAGAUUCAAGGACAACAUUCUAAUGCAUUUUCUUAGAACAAAUAUAAAUUACAAAAAAAUAUGUGGGAGGGAAAGAGAACAGAAUUUGUGUAUCUAGAAAAUAUAGGGCAAAAGAAAUCUUGUUGGAAAUUGUGUUUUGAUGGGGUAUUAUAUAAGCAACUAAUGACAAUAAUAGUUGAUGAUGCACAAAAAUCGUUAGUGACCUGAUUGUCCUCGAUCACUCCAAUGAGUACCUAAAGAACAAGAAACCAAGAACCAAACAAAGAGCACCAAUGGGGUACCAACCAAAAACCCUUUGAAGGCUAAGUCAGUAAAUUAGAAAUUUCUAAGAACUUUAUAGCGAGAGAGCUAGGGAUUUUCUGCAUACCUGGGAGAAGAGGAGGUCUGAUGCUUAUAUAAUGGUAAGCAGUGAAUCAAGAUCCCUUGGAUGUAGGGAUUUUUCCUUGUAAGGAAGAUCUAGAGUUAGGGUUUCCGAGAUUUUAGGGUGUCUUUCAAUACAAGGAAGAUAUGGGCAUGUAGUAGGGUUUUGGGGCAUGAUGCGCAAGAUAUUUCCAUAUGAGGAACUACAUGUGGAGACUACGUAAAGGAUCGUGGAGCCCAUCACCUUUAUCCAUCAACACGACCAUCCGUUCUUCGGUAUGCAAAUGAGGAGACAUCGAAUCACUCGUUCGUUGGCUUCUAUUCGUCGCAUGUUCACCCAUCUGAAACAUUAUCCCGAUGGAUCCUAAGGAUAGCAAGGGGACGAGCUUGUGGUCAGAAAAUGUAUCCCAUCCGUCGAGAUAGCAUAGAUGGGACCGUCAGCCACUGUGAGUACUUGGCUAGACGAGUGAGAAGGGAGUUUGAAGUCUAUUGGGGUCACUUAGGACGGACGAAUAAUAAAAUUUACUGCCGCGCAAAAAUACCCUUAUCAGUUGCCUCCUACUCCGUAAUCCUUCAGGGUAGCUGAAGGGUCGCGGAGCAUAUAGAAUAUUCUUGUCAUUUAAUGCUCCUCGUCUCGAUAACCAAUGUCAUAAAUGGGGGCAAUAAAGUCUUUGCAACUUGUGGAAUGACAUGUGGCGUCUCAUGAUUGGUGGAAAUGAAGCGUCGUGUUGCUUCGUUUUUUGUGGCCUUCCACCUUAUAAGUAUGCUUAUACCCUCCGAGAGUUUACUUUCUUAUUUUUACUAGAAAAUUUCACUUAAAGCUCCUACUUUAAUUACAUCCAUCCGUCUCUUUUGCUACUUCGUCACCAUUGGCUUUCCCGCCGUCGUCUUUUUAAGGUAACCUCUCAUUCGCACUUGCUUUACUUCCCGUUUUCCAAUCAUCUUCCCCUGGUCAUCAGUCUAGUAUUUAGUUUGUGUGAGUGACCGCCUAGUUUCUUACCCAUCGCUUGUAGGUGAGAGAAUGUCAGGAGGUAGUAAAGCGACAAGUGAUCAUGUCCUGUCUCUCCGUCUGGAUGACAAAGAUGCUCAUUUGUCGAGAAAUGUUCCUUUGACGGAGGAGUGGAUGGGUUCCUUGAAAAGGGAGUCGUCGGCACAUCUUUUAGAAGAUGAGAUGGAAGGAGAGGUAGACGAAGAGAUAAACAAGGAAGAGGAAGAAUAUAAGGAAUGGAGGACGGGGAGGAAGAAGACGGAGUAGAGGAGGAAGGAAAAGAAGAGGAAGAAGAGGAAAGAGUGGAAGCUAACUGGGGAGGAGAAGGGAAAGCCAUGGCCACUGGCUCGUCGGGCAACGACUACAGGCCAUUCAUCCUUCCCAGCUACUAGUCAGUGAAUGAUUUCCUCUCCAAAAUGUCAAAGAAGGUUUUUAACAAUCUGUGUCCCCAUUACCAGAUUCCAGACGAUGUCCCUAUCAGGAUGGCGGGCAAGAGGGAGAAGUGUUAUUCUGGUCGAACCGCAGAUGUCGUCUUUUAUGAGGCCGUCUUAAUGGUGGGGUUGAGGUUGCCCCUCACAAAACUGUACUGAUGGUUAGCAAACCGUCUAGGCAUGUCUAUCUGCCAGAUUUACCCAAAUGCCUAGAGGAUUUUCCUUGGGGCAAAGGUGUUAUAAGGUUAGAUAAGUGGAGGUCACUAUCACCUUACACUCGAUGAGUUUUUCUUUUGUUAUAAACCCCAACAAAUUGCAGUUUCGAAGGGAUUUUUUAACUUCAUUGUGUGCAAGCCGAUGUUGAAAUUGGUGAUGGAUGUCCCUAAUUCCAAUCGUGAUUGGAAGAGCCAAUAUUUUUUAUUCAAGGCUCGAAUUGGGUGUGUAGACCUGAUGAGUGGGAUAGUAUAUGGGGACAAGUACGAUAAUACAUGGGGUAUUUUGAACAAGGCUGGCAUGUCUGUCGAUUAGUGAGGAGGAGUUUGAAUUUUUACAACGCAUCCUUGCCAUCCCCCUUGUUCAGAGGAGCUGGAAGAGGUUGGUUACAUUUGACAGCUUGCACGCUUUUGUGGCGAACCAAAUCCAAUGGAUAAGGCAAGGAGGCUAUACACUCAAUCCCAAUGACAGAUGGACUUAGGGACAAAAAGGGCUUUGGAGGUGAAGAAGGCUGCAUCCCUUCAGCUUAAGGCUGGUAGCUCGUGGCCCCUGUUACUUAGACGAGUUAGAAGAGGAAGAACCAGGGCAAUGGGGAGCGCCCAUUAAAAAAGAUCGUUAGCCAAACCGACACUUCAAGUUUGACGAGUCCUCAGGGUACUCCCAACCCUCCCUGUCACAAUGUAGGCAAGGGUUUAAUGACGGCUCACAGCCCAUCAUCAAUGAGUUCGUCGCUCUAGCGGUCCCUCUUUUGGUGAAGGACAAGCAGCAUGCUGUCCAAACGGCUUACUCCAUCGUCAAGGAUCUUGAUCUCGAAAAAUGCUCUGAGCACAAGACGGAGGCUCUAGGGGACUUCGGCCUUUUUGAUUUGAUAAGGGUGAUUUAUUCUAAGUCGCAAUUUUACUCUGUCAUGUAUUGUAAUUGUACUAACCGUCUGUCUUUACUAUGCUUCUGUGAGGAUAUGAGUACUUCAAAUUCGAUGUGCCGCUAAGGAAGUCAUCGUCAAGCGUUGAAGUGUCGUCUGGAAGAGGAGUCAGACCAACUAAAGAAGUACAAAGAAGGGACACGUACUCUUCAUAGCAAAGUCAAAGCCUUGACGAAGCAGGUAAAGAAGCUCGAUGGUGCUACCCAUCGGGAUAAGGAGCUGACUAAGGCUAAUUCCAUCUUGACGACUGGGGUGACUUCUCUCCGCAAGUCCAUGGACAAGGCUAAAGCCGACGCUGUCGAGGAGUACAAGGACUCACAUCCAUUCUUCAACCUACUGGGAUCUCAGUAUGGUGAGGGCUUUUAGGACUUCAGAAAGCAAGCCGUUGUCCUCUUCCUUAACGUGGACAUUUCUUCCAUCCAGAUUAAGCUCACUGUUCCACUGAACCCUAGAGUGGAUGACGAGGUGGUUGACGUUGAGGACAGGGACGAGGAUGUGCUUGAACAUGUCGUGGCCCCUCAAGUGGUUCAAGGUGACGGUCCACCUCAGGCUAAAGAGGCAAUGGGAGAGAGAGACAACGCUACCCCCACUACUUAAAAAAGAAAGCUUCUAUGUUUACUUUUCUUUUCUUCUUCUUCUUUUUGUAAUUUUAAUUCUAAUUUGAGAAUAUUAUGGGUGCCCUUUUUAUGCUCAAGUGACAUUUUAACUUUAUCUUGAAACAAUCAUCGGUUUUAUUUUACACAUGG